CCAGACUCCUACGGGAGGCAGCAGUGGGGAAUAUUGCACAAUGGGGGAAACCCUGAUGCAGCAACGCCGCGUGAGUGAAGAAGUAUUUCGGUAUGUAAAGCUCUAUCAGCAGGGAAGAAGAUGACGGUACCUGAGUAAGAAGCCCCGGCUAACUACGUGCCAGCAGCCGCGGUAAUACGUAGGGGGCAAGCGUUAUCCGGAUUUACUGGGUGUAAAGGGAGCGUAGACGGUGAGACAAGUCUGAAGUGAAAGCCCGGGGCUCAACCCCGGGACUGCUUUGGAAACUGCCUGACUGGAGUGCUGGAGAGGCAAGCGGAAUUCCUAGUGUAGCGGUGAAAUGCGUAGAUAUACGGAGGAACACCAGUGGCGAAGGCGGAUUGCUGGACAGUAACUGACGCUGAGGCGCGAAAGCGUGGGGAGCAAACAGGAUUAGAUACCCCAGUAC
rnacentral:rRNA from 1 species